UACGUAGGUGGCAAGCGUUUGUCCGGAUUUAUUGGGUUUUAAAGGGUGCGUAGGCGGUUUUUCUAAGUCAGCAGUGAAAUACGGCAGCUCAACUGUCGAGGUGCUGUUGAUACUGGGGGAACUUUGAGUACUGAUGAGGUAGGCGGAAUGGACGGUGUAGCGGUGAAAUGCUUAGAGAUCGUCCAGAACACCGAUAGCGAAGGCAGCUUACUAAGGAGUAACUGACGCUGAGGCACGAAAGUGUGGGGGAUCAAACAGG
rnacentral:rRNA from 1 species